rnacentral:rRNA from 1 species
AUGCAGCUUGUCUCCUGUGGCCGGACCGCGGUGAACAUCAACGGAGACAUUGGGCCCUACUUCCCCACCCUCUGUGGGGUCCGUCAGGGUGACCAUUUCUCUCCGUUCUUGUUCAACAUGGUGGUCGAUGCCCUGGCAUCCAUCCUGGAUAAGGCCAAGGCCGCUGGUCAUAUCCGCGGCUUAGUCCCCCACCUAGUUGGAGGGGAAGGGGUCUCCAUCCUUCAAUAUGCGGAUGAUUCCAUUAUAAUGGUGGAGGGAUCCGCUCUAGAUAUUACUAACCUGAAGUUCCUCCUCCUGUGCUUCCAACAAAUGUCGGGUCUAACCAUCAACUUCGAUAAGAGCGAAGUGAUGGUUCUCGGUUACCCCUUGGAGGAAGCACAGGCUAUUGCUGACCGACUAAAUUGUCGGCUGGGUUCUUUCCCCACGACCUAUCUGGGGAUCCCCAUUAGUGAUUCACGCCUCACCAUGGCCGAUCUUCACCCCACGGUGACCCGUAUGCAACAUCGCGUUGAGCCCUGGAAAGGGCGCUGGCUGUCGAAGGCUGCUCGCGUGAUCCUUAUCAAUUUUUCGCUUUCUAGCCUCUUUUGGUUCCUCAUGAGCUUCUAUAGCCUCCAUGAAACCCUUCACCAGGAGAUCGCCAAAUACCAAUCCAGAUUCUUCUGGGCAGGGGAGGGGGGUAAGCAGAAAUACCACAUGGUCAGCUGGCCAGAUAUCUGCAAACCCAAGGACCAGGGCGGUCUUGGGAUCUUGUCCUCCCGACGCAUGAACAUUGCCCUCCUGACCCGUUGGCUCUGGCGCAUUGCCAAUGGAGAGGGAGAUCUCUGGCUUACUAUCAUCCAGAACAAGUACCUUCGUGGAUAG